GGGUAGAGCACUGUUUCGGCAAGGGGGUCAUCCCGACUUACCAACCCGAUGCAAACUGCGAAUACCGGAGAAUGUUAUUACGGGAGACACACGGCGGGUGCUAACGUCCGUCGUGAAGAGGGAAACAACCCAGACCGCCAGCUAAGGUCCCAAAGUCAUGGUUAAGUGGGAAACGAUGUGGGAAGGCCCAGACAGCCAGGAUGUUGGCUUAGAAGCAGCCAUCAUUUAAAGAAAGCGUAAUAGCUCACUGGUCGAGUCGGCCUGCGCGGAAGAUGUAACGGGGCUAAACCAUGCACCGAAGCUGCGGCAGCGACGCUUAUGCGUUGUUGGGUAGGGGAGCGUUCUGUAAGCCUGUGAAGGUGUGCUGUGAGGUAUGCUGGAGGUAUCAGAAGUGCGAAUGCUGACAUAAGUAACGAUAAAGCGGGUGAAAAGCCCGCUCGCCGGAAGACCAAGGGUUCCUGUCCAACGUUAAUCGGGGCAGGGUGAGUCGACCCCUAAGGCGAGGCCGAAAGGCGUAGUCGAUGGGAAACAGGUUAAUAUUCCUGUACUUGGUGUUACUGCGAAGGGGGGACGGAGAAGGCUAUGUUGGCCGGGCGACGGUUGUCCCGGUUUAAGCGUGUAGGCUGGUUUUCCAGGCAAAUCCGGAAAAUCAAGGCCGAGGCGUGAUGACGAGGCACUACGGUGCUGAAGCAACAAAUGCCCUGCUUCCAGGAAAAGCCUCUAAGCAUCAGGUAACAUCAAAUCGUACCCCAAACCGACACAGGUGGUCAGGUAGAGAAUACCAAGGCGCUUGAGAGAACUCGGGUGAAGGAACUAGGCAAAAUGGUGCCGUAACUUCGGGAGAAGGCACGCUGAUACGUAGGUGAAGCGACUUGCUCGUGGAGCUGAAAUCAGUCGAAGAUACCAGCUGGCUGCAACUGUUUAUUAAAAACACAGCACUGUGCAAACACGAAAGUGGACGUAUACGGUGUGACGCCUGCCCGGUGCCGGAAGGUUAAUUGAUGGGGUUAGCGCAAGCGAAGCUCUUGAUCGAAGCCCCGGUAAACGGCGGCCGUAACUAUAACGGUCCUAAGGUAGCGAAAUUCCUUGUCGGGUAAGUUCCGACCUGCACGAAUGGCGUAAUGAUGGCCAGGCUGUCUCCACCCGAGACUCAGUGAAAUUGAACUCGCUGUGAAGAUGCAGUGUACCCGCGGCAAGACGGAAAGACCCCGUGAACCUUUACUAUAGCUUGACACUGAACAUUGAGCCUUGAUGUGUAGGAUAGGUGGGAGGCUUUGAAGUGUGGACGCCAGUCUGCAUGGAGCCGACCUUGAAAUACCACCCUUUAAUGUUUGAUGUUCUAACGUGGACCCGUGAUCCGGGUUGCGGACAGUGUCUGGUGGGUAGUUUGACUGGGGCGGUCUCCUCCUAAAGAGUAACGGAGGAGCACGAAGGUUGGCUAAUCCUGGUCGGACAUCAGGAGGUUAGUGCAAUGGCAUAAGCCAGCUUGACUGCGAGCGUGACGGCGCGAGCAGGUGCGAAAGCAGGUCAUAGUGAUCCGGUGGUUCUGAAUGGAAGGGCCAUCGCUCAACGGAUAAAAGGUACUCCGGGGAUAACAGGCUGAUACCGCCCAAGAGUUCAUAUCGACGGCGGUGUUUGGCACCUCGAUGUCGGCUCAUCACAUCCUGGGGCUGAAGUAGGUCCCAAGGGUAUGGCUGUUCGCCAUUUAAAGUGGUACGCGAGCUGGGUUUAGAACGUCGUGAGACAGUUCGGUCCCUAUCUGCCGUGGGCGCUGGAGAACUGAGGGGGGCUGCUCCUAGUACGAGAGGACCGGAGUGGACGCAUCACUGGUGUUCGGGUUGUCAUGCCAAUGGCACUGCCCGGUAGCUAAAUGCGGAAGAGAUAAGUGCUGAAAGCAUCUAAGCACGAAACUUGCCCCGAGAUGAGUUCUCCCUGACCCUUUAAGGGUCCUGAAGGAACGUUGAAGACGACGACGUUGAUAGGCCGGGUGUGUAAGCGCAGCGAUGCGUUGAGCUAACCGGUACUAAUGAACCGUGAGGCUUAACCUUACAACGCCGAAG
rnacentral:rRNA from 1 species